ensembl:snRNA U6 U6 spliceosomal RNA
GUGACCACUUCAGCAGCACAUAUACUAAAAUCGGAAUGAUACAGAGAAGAGAAGAUGAGCCUGGACCCUGCUCAAGGAUGAUACGUAAAGUCCUAAAGUGUUCCAUAUUUUU